UCAGCCCAUCCGCACGUCUUCUUGCUCUUGUCGCUGCUCCGCCGACCGCCGCCGCCACUGAUGCCUUGCGUGCUCCUCCGCGUGCUCCUGAAUCCUGAAUUCUGAUGCAACGGAGACCAGCACCUCAGGACCGAGAUCGACGUCUGCGGACUGCCGCUAGCCGCCUGCCGCCCAGCUGAUGUUCGCCGUCGGCUUCCUCGGAUGCGGCUGGUCGCCGGCCAGCACCGCUGAUGUUCAUGUUCCGUCUACAUCUGGGAAGACUUUCCAAGCGUCGUUCCCUCCGCGUACCAGUUGACGUCCCGCGUCGUCCCCGUUCCUCGUUGAGGAACGAGGUUCCCGGAACAAGGAACGGCACGUCGUUACCCGUUCCGUGUGACUAAGGCCUAAGGAGCACUCCGGAGAGGAGGAAACGCGCCAAUCAUCGGUGGAAUUACUCAUGAAAAGAUUCGAUAUUGGUGAGUCAUGGUGACGAGAUGUCAGACCAUGCCCGCAUUCAAACAACAAGAUCCCGUGUCAUGUAUCUUCAGCAAAAAGGUAUGUAAAACAGGUGCCUUAUCUCUUAAAAAUAAAUAUGACUCCAAGUAGACAUUCCUUAACGAAAACUAUCUAUUUUCACUCUAACAAAAUAUGCAUCAAUGUGAAUUUUUUAAAGGUAAUAUAGAGUUGUUUGUUCCAUGAAUAAGGUAAUGAAAUCAUAGAGAUAAAUACCUCCCAAAUGUAAGCAUUGCCCGAAUGAGCUCCUCCAACUAAGUAUAUCCCAUCUUUGGAGCAAGUGAUAGGUCCAAUUGCUUCUCCUAUGCAACUUUUACUGGUUACCUGGAUCUGGAUAAAAUGCGUAAACCAUAAGAUAUAUAAUAAAUCAAUGUAUAAUUAUAUAUAAAUAGUAACAUCUUUAUUUUACAAACUUUUUUACGUCAUGGUGGGCUGAAGAUAUGCAUUGCAUACGGACUAUUUACCUCAGUACAUUUUUUUUAGAAAAGGGAGAUGUUCCUCAGCACAUAGUAUUAACCACAAACUAAUUUAGACUAUAUACUCCCUGCACAUCAAAAUGUAAGUUUUGUCCAAAAUCAAAGUUCUUUAAUUUUUUACUAAGUUUAUGGGAAAAUUCACAAACAUUUGUGGCCUUGAAACAUUUUCUUUUUCAGAUUCAUUUUGUAAUAUAUAUACAUAUGUCACUAAGAUUUUCUAUGGACUUGGUUAAAGUUAAAGAAAUUUGACUUAUGACAAAAACUAAAAUGACCUACAUUUUUAAAAUAGUGGGAGUAGAUUCUAGCAUUUUCCAAAAAUACCAUGCAAAACGUUAUGUACAUGUGACAUAUGGGUAACAAAACAAUAACGCAAAUCUACUGCAUACGGAGGGAAUAAUCAUUACUGUUUUUGUCUAUCUCUGUUUCCCAUGGCGGUGGGGAUGAUUAAAUCUGGUGAAUAUGGGACAGCAUAUACUUGUCACAUUAGCAACUAGCUCAACAGGAUUACUUCAUAAACAAGGGAUAGUUUGUACUAGUUUUGAAUAUUUUGCGGUUUAAAUGACCCAUAAUAUGUACUAGAGUAUCUAGGCAUUAAAAAUAGUUGUUUUUUAUCAAGGAAAAUAGUUGGUUUGAAUUAUAUCUGCUAGUCCACCAACCUGCGCUGCUGCAUGGAUUUGUAAU